rnacentral:lncRNA from 1 species
CUAAGGUGAAAACCUGAAAGCUCAGACAGUUAGAGUAGCAACUGGCUAACUUUCUUAAGAGGCUGGCAUCCCAGAAGCCACUCCCUUCCACACUACACUGGGUAGAGGUGUGGAGCACCAAGUGUGUGUCCCUCCAGGACUUCCUCUGCAGCCUACACUUCCCACCUAGGACCUCCCGAUCUUUCUUCCCCGGGUUGCCGAGAAAUAGAGCAUCUGAGGAGUGGCACCCAAGGUUAUUCUCUCACCCACACACAUACUGCCAGCACAGCCAUUCACACACAAAGGUUCCUGAGGGGGGGCCCAGCCCUUGGGUGGUCAAGCCUCAUCUGGUGACAGAGGACUUCAUUAAAUUGCCACUUAGAGAUGGGCGUGGCUAGAGUAACUACAGGGAAGGCUCUUGCCACUGGACCUGUCCUUGAGUUGGUGACCAGAACUAAGCAUCCUUCCCCAAGUCCAGUCACGGGUUUCAGAUAGAGAGAGCCAUGCUGGGGCUAUCAAGGUAGAAAAAUAAAGAAUGACCUCCAGUGCCUUAGGGAGGGUUAGUGAUGAAAUCCUUACCAGUCAAUGUGGUAUUUCAGAUCAAUCAAUCAAUCAAUAAGUGACUUUCAUAUGUUACGUAUCCCCCAUGGAACCGCAAGUCCAUAUAUGGCAAGAAACUGCCUGUUGGUAUCUAAAAUAGAAAGCUAACUGGAAAGUGUAUUUAAUUUGCUGAGUCCACAGCCUUGCUUUGUAAUUUCCCCUUCGUCACAGCUUUGAACCACUGGCACCCGGCCGGCCGUGGCCUGGGGGGAAUUCUGUUCCCCCAGACAAUGGCUCUAUGCUGCUGUUAAAGGUAGUUCUACCUAAAUCUCUAUCAUUCUAAUAAAACUGGAGAUUCAAAGGCUAGGGUGAAAACCUGAAAGCUCAGACAGUUAGAGUAGCAACUGGCUAACUUUCUCUCUUAAGAGGCUGGCGUCCCAAAAGCCACUCCCUUCCACACUACACCAACUAAAACAACCAUGCUAAGCCCCUCCCUGCUACUUCCUGUCAACCAGUUGCUUACCUCACCUCUCUGAGCCCAGGUUAAUUUUAUUUAGCCAAGGCAAAUGAAACACAUCUUUACAUAUUUAACAAAUGCGGCAUGAACAAAUGUAACAACUAUUCCACAUCAUUGUCUGGAACCCCAGGUGGUAAUUGGUUGGGGUGUAGCGCCAUGCUCUGUCCCCGCAUGCUUGACCACUAUCUACAGGGACCACUGUCCUGCAUUGUGCCAGUCUUGCUUGACUCCCACUAUGGGUGACAUGAUGCAACAAGAUGAUAAUAACACAUAUUUCUUCCUCGGCCUCCAGAUCUUUCUUCCCCGGGUU